rnacentral:lncRNA from 1 species
UUGACUUGUCAAACGCACGAAUCGUCUAUUUUCAAGGGCGUAAGUUACAAUUGCAGCAAUUGUUGUUUUUUACUAUACUCAUGUAUAGGUUAAGUAAAAGAUUUAGUGCCUUAGUGGAAUAGGUCAGAUUUGUAGGUUUUGGUUGGUUUUUUCUGAUAACUAAAUAUGUAAUUAAAAUAUUUAUUUUUUCCUUAUUUACAGAAAAGAUACUUAGUUUGACCAUAUCUUUAGAAGCGAUAAGUAUGGUUUUCUGCAGUUGAUCGUUAAAGAAAAGAUGGAAGGAAAA